UACCCAUCCCGAACACGACCGUUAAGCCCUCCAGCGCCGAUGGUACUUGGACCGAAGGGUCCCGGGAGAGUAGGACGCCGCCAAGC
rnacentral:rRNA from 1 species